rnacentral:rRNA from 1 species
UACAGAGGUCCCAAGCGUUGUUCGGAUUCACUGGGCGUAAAGGGUGCGUAGGUGGUCGGGUAAGUCUGAUGUGAAAUCUCCGAGCCUAACUCGGAACUGCAUCGAAUACUAUUCGGCUUGAGGGUUGGAGGGGGGACUGGAAUACUUGGUGUAGCAGUGAAAUGCGUAGAUAUCAAGUGGAACACCAGUGGCGAAGGCGAGUCCCUGGACAACUCCUGACACUGAGGCACGAAAGCUAGGGGAGCAAACAGG